rnacentral:rRNA from 1 species
UACGAAGGGGGCUAGCGUUGCUCGGAAUGACUGGGCGUAAAGGGCGCGUAGGCGGUUUGUUUAGUCAGGCGUGAAAUUCCUGGGCUUAACCUGGGGGCUGCGCUUGAUACAGGCAGACUUGAGUGUGGAAGAGGGUCGUGGAAUUCCCAGUGUAGAGGUGAAAUUCGUAGAUAUUGGGAAGAACACCGGUGGCGAAGGCGGCGACCUGGUCCAUUACUGACGCUGAGGCGCGAAAGCGUGGGGAGCAAACAGGAUUAGAUACCCUGGUAGUCCACGCCGUAAACGAUGUGUGCUGGAUGUUGGGUGGCCUAGCCAUUCAGUGUCGUAGCUAACGCGAUAAGCACACCGCCUGGGGAGUACGGCCGCAAGGUUGAA